AGGAGUUAGAUUGUAUUUUAU
rnacentral:miRNA from 1 species